GGUGAACGCUGGCGGCGUGCCUAAUACAUGCCAGUCGAGCGAACGGACGAGAAGCUUGCUUCUCUGAUGUUAGCGGCGGACGGGUGAGUAACACGUGGAUAACCUACCUAUAAGACUGGGAUAACUUCGGGAAACCGUAGCUAAUACCGGAUAAUAUUUUGAACCGCAUGGUUCAAAAGUGAAAUACGGUCUUGCUGUCACUUAUAGAUGGAUCCGCGCUGCAUUAGCUAGUUGGUAAGGUAACGGCUUACCAAGGCAACGAUGCAUAGCCGACCUGAGAGGGUGAUCGGCCACACUGGAACUGAGACACGGUCCAGACUCCUACGGGAGGAAGCAGUAGGGAAUCUUACGCAAUGGGCGAAAGCCUGACGGAGCAACGCCGCGUGAGUGAUGAAGGUCUUCGGAUCGUAAAACUCUGUUAUUAGGGAAGAACAUAUGUGUAAGUAACUGUGCACAUCUUGACGGUACCUAAUGAGAAAGCCACGGCUAACUACGUG
rnacentral:rRNA from 1 species